GGUCAAAUCACGUUGAAACACCGGUUCUCGUUUGAUCGCUGAAGUUAAGCAAUGUUUAGCCUGGUAAGUACUUAAAUGGGGGACUACUUGAAUAUGCCGGGUACUGUAA